rnacentral:rRNA from 1 species
CCUACGGGAGGCUGCAGUGAGGAAUAUUGGUCAAUGGACGAGAGUCUGAACCAGCCAAGUAGCGUGAAGGAUGACUGCCCUAUGGGUUGUAAACUUCUUUUAUAUGGGAAUAAAAUGUUCCACGCGUGGGAUUUCGUAUGUACCCUAUGAAUAAGGAUCGGCUAACUCCGUGCCAGCAGCCGCGGUAAUACGGAGGAUGCGAGCGUUAUCCGGAUUUAUUGGGUUUAAAGGGUGCGCAGGCGGCUGUGCAAGUCAGCGGUAAAAUGUCGGGGCUCAACCCCGGCGGGCCGUUGAAACUGGCGUGCGUGAGUUUGUGAGAAGUAUGCGGAAGUCGUGGUGUAGCGGUGAAAUGCAUAGAUAUCACGAAGAACCCCGAUUGCGAAGGCAGCAUACCGGCGCCAAACUGACGCUGAGGCACGAAAGCGUGGGUAUCGAACAGGAUUAGAUACCCGUGUAGUC